AAUGAACGCUGGCGGCAGGCCUAAAACAUGCAAGUCGAACGCCCUAGCAAUAGGGAGUGGCGCACGGGUGAAUAACAUGUGGGAAUAUGCCUUUUGGUACGGAACAACGUUUGGAAACGAACGCUAAUACCGUAUGGUCCCUCCGGGGUAAAGAUUUAUCGCCAAAAGAUUAGCCCGCACUAGAUUAGCUAGUUGGUAAGGUAAUGGCUUACCAAGGCGACGAUCUAUAGCUGUUCUGAGAGGAAGAUCAGCCACACUGGGACUGAGACACGGCCCAGACUCCUACGGGAGGCAGCAGUUAGGAAUAUUGGACAAUGGGCGCAAGCCUGAUCCAGCCGUGCCGCGUGAGUGAUGAAGGCCUUCGGGUUGUAAAGCUCUUUAGCCGACGAAUAUAAUGACUGUAGUCGGAGAAUAAGCCCCGGCUAACUUCGUGCCAGCCGCCGCGGUAAGAC
rnacentral:rRNA from 1 species